AGACACGAGGAGGAGCUUCAUGUCAUCGUCCAUCUUGUGGAGGGCGGCUAGGGUUCACGAGUGGAAUUUGAAGGGUACAUACAAAGGGAACCGAGGAAGGAAGGCGAAUGCGGGUGAGGGGCGGUGACGACGCAACGUGAUGCGAGCGGACCGGUGGGGGUGGGGUCGAUCGGGUGCCGAUGGGGUGGAGAAUGAAGAUAUCGCGUGCGGAGAGGGCCGGGGAUGAUGACGCACAUGCGAUGCGGGUUGGGGCACGGGAUGACGAUGCUGCACGAUGCGAACGGGGUGGGAGCGGCCUCCCAACUUUACAUUGCGACACA
rnacentral:lncRNA from 1 species